UACGAAGGGGGGCUAGCGUUGCUCGGAAUCACUGGGCGUAAAGGGUGCGUAGGCGGAUCUUUAAGUCAGAGGUGAAAUCCUGGAGCUCAACUCCAGAACUGCCUUUGAUACUGAAGAUCUUGAGUUCGGGAGAGGUGAGUGGAACUGCGAGUGUAGAGGUGAAAUUCGUAGAUAUUCGCAAGAACACCAGUGGCGAAGGCGGCUCACUGGCCCGAUACUGACGCUGAGGCACGAAAGCGUGGGGGAGCAAACAGG
rnacentral:rRNA from 1 species